CAGCAGCCACGGUAAUACGAAGGGUGCAAGCGUUAAUCGGAAUUACUGGGCGUAAAGCGUGCGUAGGCGGUUUGUUAAGUCUGUUGUGAAAUCCCCGGGCUCAGCCUGGGAAUGGCAAUGGAUACUGGCAAGCUAGAGUGUGUCAGAGGAUGGUGGAAUUCCCGGUGUAGCGGUGAAAUGCGUAGAGAUCGGGAGGAACAUCAGUGGCGAAGGCGGCCAUCUGGGACAACACUGACGCUGAGGCACGAAAGCGUGGGGAGCAAACAGGAUUAGAUACCCCCGUAGUCCCUGUCUCUUAUAC
rnacentral:rRNA from 1 species